rnacentral:rRNA from 1 species
CAAAAACAUCGCCUCUUGAUAAAAUAUAAGAGGUCCAGCCUGCCCAGUGACCUAGUUCAACGGCCGCGGUAUCCUAACCGUGCGAAGGUAGCGUAAUCACUUGUUCUUUAAAUGAGGACUAGUAUGAAUGGCACCACGAGGGUUAAGCUGUCUCCUUUUUCUAAUCAGUGAAACUAAUCUCCCCGUGAAGAAGCGGGGAUUACCCUAUAAGACGAGAAGACCCUAUGGAGCUUAAAACAAAUUAACAUUUGCUUCUAUCCAUUUUUGUUCCUGGACUAACACAUAAAAUAUAGCACUUUUGAUUAAUAGUUUUCGAUUGGGGUGAUCAUGGAGUAAAAACCAACCUCCACGACGAAAAGGGCCACUUCCCUGAGCUAAAAGCUACAACUUUAAGCACUAAAAAAUUAACGCACUUUGACCCAAAUUUUUGAGCAACGAACCAAGUUACCCUAGGGAUAACAGCGCAAUCCAUUUCAAGAGCCCCUAUCGACAAAUGGGUUUACGACCUCGAUGUUGGAUCAGGGUGUCCCAGUGGUGCAGCCGCUACUAAAGGUUCGUUUGUUCAACGAUUAAAACC